CUUGGUGUGGCUCAGUGGUAUAGUACAUGCUUCGCUUGGAUAAGAUCUUGGGUUCGAUCCCCAGCAUCAUGG
rnacentral:tRNA from 1 species